GGCCAGUUAGCUCAGUCAGUUGAGCGUAGCGCUAACAACGCUACGGUCACGGGUUCAAUUCCUGUUCGGUCCC
rnacentral:tRNA from 1 species